UGAGAAUUAUUGUAAUGACAAAUUGAGUUUGGGAGGGUGGGUAGCCAGUUUCCAUGGUUCCUUUUUGAAAGAAAACGCCGGAAUAGUCGUCUCGUCACUCGGCUCCGUCGUUCGUCGUCGAUGGGGUUGGAAGAUUUCCCAUCUCCGAUCUUGGUGGAUAUACUGAGUCGGGUGGGCGAUUCCACUGAUUUGGCCAGGUGCCGCCUCACCUGCCGAACCCUCCGCUCCCUCUCGUACGAAGCCCGAUCCAUCCGCCUCUUCUGCUCUCGCGAACGUGCCCUCCGCUCCAGUGUCCCAGGCACCGUUGACCUCCAUCCAGCAUUCAAGUCGGUGGUAUGCAACCUUGCAUCUCUCCUUUCUUCCGUCCACAGCCCGCUCUCACUCUCCCUCGCCGCCGAGCGGCCCGACUGCGUCCCAGCGGGCGAGAUCGACGACGGCGACGAACUCUAUUUCACGGAUUCUCCCUUCCUCAGUCGAUGGAUUCCUCUUAUUUCCGCUCGCCUCCAAUCCCUUUCCAUUCACGAUUAUUGGCUUCAGUCUUGCUGGCGUCCCUCUCGGGCGUUGCCUCUGAUCUCGAUCUUUUGCUCUGAGCUUCUUAACUUGGAGAUCAGAAAUGCCUGGCUGUCGGUCAAGGAGCUCAUGCCAAUGCAAACGUUGACUUCACUAAACCUCAACUACAUAAGACUAGAUGAUGAAAAUCUUGAAAAGGUGAAUGAGUGUUUCCCAUCUCUCCGAGUUCUUAAUUUGAUUGACGUAGGAGGGCUCAAGGAACCCAAGAUUCAACUUCUGCAACUAAGGACCUUUACAUGGACUGUUUCCAACUUUGUGGUAUCUCUAACGGUGGAUGCACCCAAAUUGGUUGAGCUGAAACUUACGUGUGUUGAACCAAAGGCUGUUCAUCUUCAGACUCCUUUACUGCUUAAUCUUGAUAUUACCAUUAAAAAGGUUAAAGUGAUCAAAGUGGAUAAACUUCAUAAUUUGAGAGUUCUCAGGGUAGAGUCCUCACAGCUAGGCAACUUAUCACAAGUGUUUGCAGAGAGCAGAACCAUUAAGCGGCUAGAGAUGGAACUGUAUGAACCUGCCUGUGUUAUUAAUACCGAACAGUGUUCUGUCAGUCUAUCAGAUACAUUCCCUGACAUAGAAGAAUUAACCAUAGGAGAAAAGGCCUGGUUCCUCCUCCCACAAAUUGUCAGGAUCAAAGGUGAACUUGUAAGCUUGAAGAAAUUGGUGGUACAUGAAUCAACCACCGAAUUGGAUGGUGCAAUUAUAUCCUCAAAGUUGUCUAUACUGGUACACUCCCAUGUUUGUCAAGUUGUGAUGGUUAUUCCAGCUACUGCUCCCAUUGAAGGUAGAGUAUGUGCCAUUUCCAAGUGCAUCAAUGAUUUUCCAAACAUAAGGUGGGAAUUUGUUACGAAGGAAAUUAAGUGAGCGAAAAUACCAACAGAUACAUUCCGAGUGCAACUUCUUUGAAUUGGUGUGGCAUCACUUCUCAUCACAAUUAUUUCACCGGACAACAGAUGAAAUGUGCUAUGGAGUAUGAAGAUUCUACCCAAAGUUCACAUGUAAUAUGCUUGCCAAAAUCAAGAAGGUAGACUUUGCCCGACAAAAAAAAUGGAAUUUGUGAGCAUAUAAUGCGAACAAGAAUGUACGUAGGAGCUUCAACAAGCCUUGAGCCAUGUCCUUCAGACUGCAAUCGGAUAUAAAGUGCAUGACAACCUCCCUAGAGGCUAGAACCAGCCACACCCUUCCAAAUUGCCUCUGAAUUCGUUGUCGAAGAGCAAUCGCCGGAGCAAAGUGACUAACUGCCUUCACAAUGAACAAGCAUAAUGAAGGUGGCGUGUGCAAAGGUAGACCAUCAGAAAGUAGAGCCCAGGCACAAGUCUUGAAAACAUCGAUCCUGUAGCACAAAAUGUAAUGUCUUGCAAAAGCCCCGGGGCUAUAGUUAUUAUCUAAAUGCUCAGGUUGCCUAUAGAAUUUUAUUAAUUAUUUAAUUACAGUUGU